rnacentral:rRNA from 1 species
AGGCUUUGAUCCUGGCUCAGGACGAACGCUGGCGGCGUGCUUAACACAUGCAAGUCACGGGGGCCCGCAAGGGUAACCGGCGAACGGGUGCGUAACACGUGAGCAAUCUGCCGAUGUCUGGGGGAUAGCCGGGCCAACGCCCGGGUAAUACCGCAUACGCUUGUUGGGGGACCUCCCCUGGCAAGGAAACCUCCGGGGGACAUCGAGGAGCUCGCGGCCUAUCAGCUAGUUGGUGCGGUAACGGCGCACCAAGGCGACGACGGGUAGCUGGUCUGAGAGGAUGGCCAGCCACAUUGGGACUGCGACACGGCCCAGACUCCUACGGGAGGCAGCAGUGGGGAAUAUUGCGCAAUGGACGAAAGUCUGACGCAGCGACGCCGCGUGUGGGAUGACGCCUUUCGGGGUGUAAACCACUGUUGCCCGGGACGAACAUCCUCUUUCGAGAGGACUGACGGUACCKGGUGAGGAAGCACCGGCGUAAUCUGUG